AUGUAGCACGCGAGCGCUGCAAUCCCUGCGUGCCGGCCGCACCCACCUGACGACUGCUCGCUACGUUUUGUUAGCC
rnacentral:sRNA from 1 species